GAUGAAGAACGCAGUGAAAUGCGAUAAGUAAUGUGAAUUGCAGAAUUCAGUGAAUCAUCGAAUCUUUGAACGCACAUUGCGCCCCUUGGUAUUCUGAGGGGCAUGCCUGUUCGAGCGUCAUUAUAACCCCUCAAGCUCAGCUUGGUGUUGGGGCCUGCCGCACGGGCAGCCCUUAAAAUCAGUGGCGGUGCCAUCUGGCUCUAAGCGUAGUAAUUCUUCUCGCUAUAGAGUCCCGGUGGAUGCUUGCCAUUAACCCCCAAUUUUCUAUGGUUGACCUCGGAUCAGGUAGGGAUACCCGCUGAACUUAAGCAUAUCAAUAAGCGGAGGA
rnacentral:misc_RNA from 1 species